rnacentral:rRNA from 1 species
AAUAGAUACCCUGGUAGUCCACGCCGUAAACGAUGAGUGCUAAGUGUUAGAGGGUUUCCGCCCUUUAGUGCUGCAGCUAAACGCAUUAAGCACUCCGCCUGGGGAGUACGGUCGCAAGACUGAAAACUCAAAGGAAUUGACGGGGGCCCGCACAAGCGGUGGAGCAUGUGGUUUAAUUCGAAGCAACGCGAAGAACCUUACCAGGUCUUGACAUCCUCUGACAACUCUAGAGAUAGAGCGUUCCCCUUCGGGGGACAGAGUGACAGGUGGUGCAUGGUUGUCGUCAGCUCGUGUCGUGAGAUGUUGGGUUAAGUCCCGCAACGAGCGCAACCCUUGAUCUUAGUUGCCAGCAUUUAGUUGGGCACUCUAAGGUGACUGCCGGUGACAAACCGGAGGAAGGUGGGGAUGACGUCAAAUCAUCAUGCCCCUUAUGACCUGGGCUACACACGUGCUACAAUGGAUGGUACAAAGGGCUGCAAGACCGCGAGGUCAAGCCAAUCCCAUAAAACCAUUCUCAGUUCGGAUUGGU